rnacentral:rRNA from 1 species
GACGGACGCUGGCGGCGUGCUUAACACAUGCAAGUCGAACGGAAAGGCCCUGCUUUUGUGGGGUGCUCGAGUGGCGAACGGGUGAGUAACACGUGAGUAACCUGCCCUUGACUUUGGGAUAACUUCAGGAAACUGGGGCUAAUACCGGAUAGGAGCUCCUGCUGCAUGGUGGGGUUGGAAAGUUUCGGCGGUUGGGGAUGGACUCGCGGCUUAUCAGCUUGUUGGUGGGGUAGUGGCUUACCAAGGCUUUGACGGGUAGCCGGCCUGAGAGGGUGACCGGCCACAUUGGGACUGAGAUACGGCCCAGACUCCUACGGGAGGCAGCAGUGGGGAAUAUUGCACAAUGGGCGGAAGCCUGAUGCAGCAACGCCGCGUGCGGGAUGACGGCCUUCGGGUUGUAAACCGCUUUCGCCUGUGACGAAGCGUGAGUGACGGUAAUGGGUAAAGAAGCACCGGCUAACUACGUG